rnacentral:rRNA from 1 species
UACGUAGGCAGCGAGCGUUGUUCGGAGUUACUGGGCGUAAAGGGUGUGUAGGCGGUUCUCUAAGUUUGGUGUGAAAUCUCCCGGCUCAACCGGGAGGGUGCGCCGAAAACUGGAGGGCUAGAGUGCGGAAGGGGCAACUGGAAUUCUCGGUGUAGCGGUGAAAUGCGUAGAUAUCGAGAGGAACACCUGCGGCGAAGGCGGGUUGCUGGGCCGACACUGACGCUGAUGCGCGAAAGCCAGGGGAGCGAACGGG